rnacentral:rRNA from 1 species
CCCUUAGACGUUCUGGGCCGCACGCGCGCUACACUGACGGAGCCAGCGAGUAUAAACCUUGGCCGAGAGGUCUGGGAGAUCUUGUGAAACUCCGUCGUGCUGGGGAUAGAGCAUUGUAAUUAUUGCUCUUCAACGAGGAAUUCCUAGUAAGCGCAAGUCAUCAGCUUGCGUUGAUUACGUCCCUGCCCUUUGUACACACCGCCCGUCGCUACUACCGAUUGAAUGGCUUAGUGAGGCUUCCGGAUUGGUUUAGAGAAGGGGGCAACUCCAUCUUGGAACCGAGAAGCUAGUCAAACUUGGUCAUUUAGAGGAAGUAAAAGUCGUAACA